GACGUAGGGCGCGAGCGUUGUCCGGAUUUAUUGGGCGUAAAGAGCUCGUAGGCGGCUUGUCGCGUCGAAUGUGAAAUCCUGCGGCUCAACUGCAGGCUUGCAUUCGAUACGGGCAGGCUCGAGUUCGGUAGGGGAGACUGGAAUUCCUGGUGUAGCGGUGAAAUGCGCAGAUAUCAGGAGGAACACCGGUGGCGAAGGCGGCAUCCUGGACCGGCAUUGACGCUGAGGAGCGAAAGCCAGGGGAGCAAACGGG
rnacentral:rRNA from 1 species